rnacentral:sRNA from 1 species
GUUGGGUGCAGUGGUGCACACCUGUAAUUCCAGCAGCUCUGGAGGCUGAGGCAGGAGGAUCACAAGUUCAAACCCAGCCUCAGCAAUGGCCAGGCACUAAAUAACCCAGUAAGACCCUGUCUCUA